rnacentral:rRNA from 1 species
UGGGGAAUUUUGGACAAUGGGCGAAAGCCUGAUCCAGCAAUGCCGCGUGUGUGAAGAAGGCCUUCGGGUUGUAAAGCACUUUUGUCCGGAAAGAAAUCCUUGGCUCUAAUACAGUCGAGGGAUGACGGUACCGGAAGAAUAAGCACCGGCUAACUACGUGCCAGCAGCCGCGGUAAUACGUAGGGUGCAAGCGUUAAUCGGAAUUACUGGGCGUAAAGCGUGCGCAGGCGGUUUGCUAAGACCGAUGUGAAAUCCCCGGGCUCAACCUGGGAACUGCAUUGGUGACUGGCAGGCUAGAGUAUGGCAGAGGGGGGUAGAAUUCCACGUGUAGCAGUGAAAUGCGUAGAGAUGUGGAGGAAUACCGAUGGCGAAGGCAGCCCCCUGGGCCAAUACUGACGCUCAUGCACGAAAGCGUGGGGAGCAAACAGGAUUAGAUACCCUGGUAGUCCACGCCCUAAACGAUGUCAACUAGUUGUUGGGGAUUCAUUUCCUUAGUAACGUAGCUAACGCGUGAAGUUGACCGCCUGGGGAGUACGGUCGCAAGAUUAAAACUCAAAGGAAUUGACGGGGUCAUAGCUGUUUCCU